GGUGACGUUUCAGGCUGCCCUGAAGAGGGGUCCCGACUCAGAAUGUUACCUAUCUAUGAUCUCCUGAGAUGCUGCCUGACCUGCUGAGUU